UGGGGAAUUUUGCGCAAUGGGCGAAAGCCUGACGCAGCAACGCCGCGUGGGUGAUGAAGGUCUUCGGAUCGUAAAACCCUGUCGUCAGGGACGAAGGUCGCAUGUCUAAUAGAUGUGUGAUUUGACGGUACCUGGAGAGGAAGCCCCGGCUAACUCUGUGCCAGCAGCCGCGGUAAUACGGGGGGUGCAAGCGUUGUUCGGAAUUAUUGGGCGUAAAGAGCGUGUAGGCGGCUGGAUUAGUCAGAUGUGAAAGCCCUGGGCUUAACCCAGGAAGUGCAUUUGAAACUGUCCGGCUUGAGUAAGGGAGAGGAAAGUGGAAUUCCCGGUGUAGAGGUGAAAUCCGUAGAUAUCGGGAGGAAUACCAGAGGCGAAGGCGGCCUUCUGGACUGACACUGACGCUGAGGCACGAAAGCGUGGGGAGCAAACAGG
rnacentral:rRNA from 1 species